CAAACCUGGCCUGUUACAUGGAACUGUGAACCCCACCUUCGGUAUCUCUUGGUAUAACUGGGGAACAAAUGAAAUGAGAUGGUGCUUUGCUGACUGUGAAAUGCUACAGAAUCAUCAGGCUUUUCUUUUUCACCAGGAGCUCAUUCCACGGGCUUUAUCUGCACCAAGCACUGGAAGACACAGGAAGCAGGUAGCCAGAGGGAUACAUGAGACAGCCAGACAUGGACUCAUUUCCUUCAAAUCAAUAGGACUGUGUGCCACCAAGACCCUGAAAAACUCACAGAAUGCCUCCCACAUCAUCCACCUGCAGAAUGGAAACUGGAAAUUGAUCUGCUGCCUCCAGCUCCCACUGGGUGAGGGGCUCUAGACUUCUUCAUUGCCUGCCUGAACAACCUUCCAUGGUGCCAAAGAGCUUAAGGAAUUUGCAGUUCAAAUUGGAGUAGACACUGACUGCCUAUGGUGAGCUUAGGAUGGCAAGAAAUUGUCCACCCCAUGUGUAGCUGAUAUUCAGUGCAGUCCUGAGUGGCUACACAGAAACAUUUCUUAAUUGGUCAAUACACAUGGGUUGCUGGAUUUCAGCUGUGUAUGAGCUGCUUAGGUUGCUGAAGAAGAGUUUAUGCUCAGAGUGCUGUGGAAUAAACAUGGGC
rnacentral:lncRNA from 1 species